AUUCCUUCUUUUAAACUCUUUCAUUGUGUUUUAUUAUCAUGAUCCUUAUCUUUGUAUUAAGAACUGGGAUUUAGUAAAUAAACUUGAGUAUAUCUUAUGCUGCUCCACUUUAAGGAAAAUAACGUGUACAAUGAGCAGUGGUGUAGACUGUAUGGAUUAUAUAUCCAUACCUUCUGCAAUGUCUUCCCGUUCUCCGUUUUGUGUGUCAUAUGUGCACUUUGGCACCAUCUCAGAAUUCAACGGGGUAAGUCCCUUUUUUUCAUUCUUUAGAUGCCAAUGUCUGCUUUGCUUACAUUUAAAACCUAACACCUUGCGUCCUAUUCUUCUUUGCGGAAAUGUAUUUGACCCACUGACAGCCCUAUAUCUUGGCACAGAAUUACAGUGGUGGGAUUGGUGAACUGGAUAUCAGCUAUUCACCACCAUAUAGUUUCAACCCUGCCGUAAAAUGGAUGUUGAAUGGACUCGAUAGUGAAGUUGGUAUUUAAGAGGUGUUAGUUUCAAUUCUUUUGAAAUGCAGAAAAAUUUCAUUAGUAAUUCACAAGUAAGCUAUUAAGAUCUAUUAUCAGUUUAGCGGCAUAACUAAGAUCUAUUUCAUUUGAAGUAGCUUGAUAGAUUAAGUAGUCAAAUAGAUGGGUGCAAAAAAAGGAAAAAUAAAAUAAAAUUAUACAAUAGCACUGGAUAGCACAGGGUGAGACUGUUAAUUAUCGUGGACCCUUCAUCAAUUGCCAUAAAUUAGUUAGGCUGUUUUGUGCUUUGCGUGCCCACAUGGGACAACAUAGGUUCUUAACACUUUUUGAUAUUAGUAAAGUAUAUGCAUAAUUUUUAUUUUUGUGUAGGUUUGUUACAUCAAAUACCGCUUGCUGUGCUCAAGAGCUGUCUAAUGGAAGGUUUUGCACAAUUGCAACAAACCAUUGCUUUAUGUUACAGUACAUUGCUUUAAGUUACAGUAUUAUGAUUUUAUGUGGAAGCUCUUUAGCUUUUUUGGUAUUAGUUGAGUUUACUGAACUGCUUUCUAUUUUCCACCAGUAUUUGGACUGAAUUAAGUGAGAGUACGCGACUACAAUUUUAGUUAGUAUUGAAAAAAAUCAUACCAAACUAGAUAAUCUUAAUCACCUUAAUCUUCGUGAGAGUAUGGAACUACUGUUUCAAAAUGAAACACCGAGAUUAAGCCUCUUGCUAACAUAUCUAACUGGUCAGUUAUGUUUAUCUUUUUGUAUUUUAAGGGUAUAUAUUAGAUUGAGACUAAAUUUUUUGUGACCCUGUUAUAACCAGAUGAUGUUGGUGUUGUGUAAAUUUGUUGUAUGCUUUGAACAUAAAAGCUCCGUAGGCACAAGGGAUCUUACUUUGCAGCACAUUUGGUGGGUUAUAAUUAUCCCGGUAAUAUAAGGGCCUCUCUAACUCUCUCUGUUGGUGCAGUGGUUGUAGUGUGAACAUCACCCUGUGUGGGGAUAAAUCAAUCAAUGAGCUAAGUCGUCACAUACACCAUCUUGGAAUUGAGCAACCACCUGUCGUGGACGUUCUUACUGGACUAUGUUAAAACGGACCAAGGAUGCUCCAUCGGUACCCCACCAAUACGAUCAAAAUAUAUGUCAAAGAUGACACUCCUGAAGUAACUGAUGUAAGAGAUGGGAGAAAGUACUAUGCGGCCACCAGUUUGAAUUUUGCUUCUCCACCUUUUUUCCCCCACAGAUUUCUCACGUGUCAUUUAUUUUCCAGUGGUAGAAAUUAGAUUACUGAGUUUUAUUACAGUGUAAUUUUUAGGGAGAAGUUAAAACUUUCAGAUGGAAGAGAGCUAUUUGUAGAAACUAUCAUAUUAAAUGUAGUGUCAACUCUUAAAGCACCGUCCUUUCGUUCCAUUCACAUGGUGAUUAAAGCAGACAUGUUGCCGCUAGUCCCAGAUUGCCAUCAUUUUCUUGAGGUGGACAUAUUUACAUGAGACACUCCAGCAUUUUCUUGAGGUGGACAUAUUUACAUGAGACACUCUGGAAGUCUACCGAAAAAAUUUCUCCUCAAACACAACUGACUUGAGUGUAUUUUUUCUUUUCCUAGGAUAGAUGAAGUUUUUUAUUGGGGAAACUGACUGUUGUUGGUAGAGUAGACAUGUUGAAAAGGAAUGGGUAUUCUUUAACUGUAAUUUUGUUAUCAAAAAUUCUUGGUGAACCGCGGAAAUGGACGCCAUGAAAACCGUCCCCUCCCAAUCCCUUAUGUGCUGGCCCCACUAAACUAAAACCGCUCCCUCAUGUGUUUUCACGGUUUUGCCGUGGUUUUUUCAUACAAUUCAUGUAGAAGCAACUGUUUUGUUAUUAAUAUAAAAAUUAAC